rnacentral:rRNA from 1 species
AGUGAACGCUGGCGGUAGGCCUAACACAUGCAAGUCGAACGGCAGCACAGGAGAGCUUGCUCUCUGGGUGGCGAGUGGCGGACGGGUGAGGAAUACAUCGGAAUCUACUCUGUCGUGGGGGAUAACGUAGGGAAACUUACGCUAAUACCGCAUACGACCUACGGGUGAAAGCAGGGGACCUUCGGGCCUUGCGCUAUUGAAUGAGCCGAAGUCGGAUUAGCUAGUUGGCGGGGUAAAGGCCCACCAAGGCGACGAUCCGUAGCUGGUCUGAGAGGAUGAUCAGCCACACUGGAACUGAGACACGGUCCAGACUCCUACGGGAGGCAGCAGUGGGGAAUAUUGGACAAUGGGCGCAAGCCUGAUCCAGCCAUACCGCGUGGGUGAAGAAGGCCUUCGGGUUGUAAAGCCCUUUUGUUGGGAAAGAAAUCCAGCUGGCUAAUACCCGGUUGGGAUGACGGUACCCAAAGAAUAAGCACCGGCUAACUUCGUGCCAGCAGCCGCUGUAA